rnacentral:sRNA from 1 species
ACCACUUUGUAAUGUGGGUUUUCAACCUUGGCUGCACAUUGCAAUCACCUGGGGAUCCCCCCCCUCAACCGCCCAACAAAGAUUCUGAUGUUAUUGGUCUGAGGUGCUGCCUGAGAAUUGGUGUUUCCAAAGCUCCUCUGGUGUUUUGUGUUUUUCUAGCACAAGAAAAGUUGUGAGUCACUGUAGUGCAAUACAGUUGAAUCACAAUUGCCACAAUUGUGUAGGGUCCAUCAGAACCACCUGAAGGACUUCAUAGACCACAGCUGGCUAGGAGCUACCCCUAGGCUUCUGAUUCAGUAAGUGAGAGGCAGAGCCCAAGGCUGUACAUUUCUAACAAGUUCCAGGUGCUGCUGCUGCUGGUCCAGAGACCACUGCAUUAGAGGCCAGAGUUCUCAACUAUUGACUGCACAUUAGAACCAUCUGGAUAAUAUUUAAGACAUACUGAUGCCUAUACACCAACCCAGACUAACUGAAUCAAAACCUCUGGUAAUGGGGCUCCAGAGAUUUUUUUUAAUGCUCCCAGGGGAUUCUACUACAGAGCAAGUUGAGAACCACUUCUAAACAAAAGAAAAAAAUUCUUACUAAAAAGGUUAAAGAGACAUACAUCAAGUUUGCAGGCUUUCUAGACAAUGGAACUUCAAACAUAGGAUUUGCCUGUGGUAUUUAUUCUUUCUUGGGGCCCACUUGCAGUGUACUUUAUAGGAUGAUGUAUCAGAAACCUUGACCCAGCAGCCUAAAAAUAGUGGUCAGCAUCGAUGAGUCUCAUCUGUUACAACAAAAAGGAAAAACAGUUACAAGGCCCCACUGCAGGGGAAGCUCAGGCACCCCCCUUGGAGAUGUGCCCAAGAAAUGGCUCCUAAUAGGCCACUCAAAUCCUGCCAUUGAAAGGGAACACAUGGGCAAGAUAUAUCUUGCAGCCUAGAAUUUUUUUUAUUUAUGUGACUUUAGUCUCUUCUUUGUAUAGUGACUUUGUAGAGGAAGAGAAAUUACAACACCUUACAUGCCUAAGUCAUGGGGACUAAGUCAUGGGGACUCUUCCUCCAGGUUCCCAGAGCAAAAAGCAAAAAGCCCUGUACUCCCUGGUGCCCACCUGGUCAUCUUGCCCACGGUUUUUCCAUCCCAGAGGUACUGCUGCAGGCCCAGAGCCCUCCAGGAAAAGAACUGACAUCUAGGAACUCCUCCCCAAGCCCUUUCUUCAACUCAUUCUUGCUAUGGCAAGAGUGUGGGUUGCAGUGAUAUCUCAGAAGUUUAUUCCAUCAUAUUAAAUUCUCAGUAAAUCACCCUUUGACAAGUCAGUUUAAAGGAUACGAUGUAGACAGCUAGAAAAGACACUAUUUCUGGGCCAGGUUUUCCCAGCUGUUUAAAAAAUUGCUCAAAUAAUCUCUAAUUCAUCUUAUUUUUGUCACUAGUCAUCAUGUCAGAAUCUCUGGUUUCAUAAAGAAAACUUUUCUGGCCUGACACACAGCCACUAUCUACUGAACUUUGCCGCAGACCAAAAUGUCUUCUGAGAUCUCCACUCAGCAAUCCUUAAUAUUUUGAGGAGAGAAAUUUACAAGUGUGCCCUUGAUACAUAAAAAGGUCACAUAUUCUAGGGUCCAAGGGUCUCACUGAUCCCGGUGAUGUCUACAUCUCCCCUUCUAGCCGGAAAACUCAAAUAUAUGUGAGGUGUGCAACAAAUGGGGACGGCUGUUCUGCUGCGACACUUGUCCAAGAUCCUUUCAUGAGCGCUGCCACAUCCCACCCGUGGAAGCCAACAAGAACCCGUGGAGUUGCAUCUUCUGCAGGAUAAAGACUAUUCAGGAAAGAUGCCCAGAAAGCCAAUCAGGUCAUCAGGAAUCUGAAGUCCUGAUGAGGCAGAUGCUGCCUGAGGAGCAGUUGAAAUGUGAAUUCCUCCUCUUGAAGGUCUACUGUGAUUCGAAAAGCUGCUUUUUCGCCUCAGAACCAUAUUAUAACAGAGAGGGGUCUCAGGGCCCACAGAAGCCCAUGUGGUUAAACAAAGUCAAGAGAAGUUUGAAUGAGCAGAUGUACACCCGAGUAGAAGGGUUUGUGCAGGACAUGCGUCUCAUCUUUCAUAACCACAAGGAAUUUUACAGGGAAGAUAAAUUCACCAGACUGGGAAUUCAAGUACAGGACAUCUUUGAGAAGAAUUUCAGAAACAUUUUUGCAAUUCAGGAAACAAGCAAGAACAUUAUAAUGUUUAUUUAGCCAUUCUUAUCUCCUCCCUUCAGAUCCUCUGGCAGCUAGCUACGCAAUGUGCCUGUGGUCCCACUAAUCUCUGACUGCUCCUGGGGAAACUCUACAUCACAAUUCUCCAAAAUUUAUCAUUGCCAUUUUAAAACUGUCUUUUCAGCUUUCAAUAAAAUUCAACACCCCUUCAUGUUAAAAAUUCUCAAUAAGCUAGGUAUUGAAGGAACAUAUCCCAAAAUAAUAAGAGCCAUUUAUGACAAACCCACAGACAACAUUAUAUGGAAUGUGCAAAAGAAGCAUUCCCCUUGAAAACAAGCACAAGACAAGGAUUCCCUCUCUCACCACUCCUAUUCAACAAAGUAUUGGAAGUCCUGGUCAGAGCAGUCAGGAAGCAGAAAAAAAUAAAGGGUAUCUAAAUAGGCAAAGAGGAAGUCAAACUAUCCCUGUUUGCAGACAACAUUGAUUCUAUAUCUAGAAAACCCCCUAGUCUCAGCCCAGAAGCUCCUUCUGCUGAUAAACAAUUUCAGAGAAGUUUCAGAAUACAAAAUUAGUAUACGAAAAUUACUAGUAUUCCUAUACACCAGCAAUAGCCAAGCCAAGAGCCAAAUCAGGAAGGCAAUCUCAUUCACAAUUGCCACAAAAAGAAUAAAAUACCUAGGAAUACAGCUAAUCAGGGAGGUGAGAGGGUUCUACAAUGAGAAUUACGAAACACUGCUCAAAGAGAUUGGAGAUGACACAAACAAAUGGAAAAACAUCCCAUGCUCAUGGGUAGAAACAGUCAAUAUCAUUAAAAUGACCAUACUGCCCAAAGCAGUUUACAGGUUCAAUGUUAUUCCUAUCAAACCACCAAUGACAUUCUUCACAGAAUUAGAUAAAACUAUUUUAAAAUUCAUACAGAACCAAAAAAGAGCCCAAAUAGCCAAGGCAAUCCUAAGCAAAAAGAACAAAGCUAAAGGCAUCAUGUUACCCCACUUCAAACUAUAUUACAGGGCUUCAGUAACCAAAACAGCAUGGUACUGGUACCAAAAAAAAAGCCACAUAGACCAACGGAACAGAACGAAGAGCACAGAAUAAGACCACACUCCUAUGACCAUCUGAUCGUCGAUAAAAACAAGCAAUGGGAAAAAGACUCCCUAUUUUAUAAAUGGUGCUGGGAUAACUGG